rnacentral:rRNA from 1 species
CCUACGGGAGGCAGCAGUGGGGAAUAUUGGGCAAUGGGCGAAAGCCUGACCCAGCAACGCCGCGUGAGGGAAGAAGGUCUUCGGAUUGUAAACCUCUGUCCUCAGGGACGAAAAAAAUGACGGUACCUGAGGAGGAAGCCACGGCUAACUACGUGCCAGCAGCCGCGGUAAU